rnacentral:rRNA from 1 species
UCCGUAGGCGGGUAAUUAAGUCAGAGGUGAAAUCCCACAGCUUAACUGUGGAACUGCCUUAGAUACUGGUUAUCUUGAGUUUUAGUGAAGUAGAUAGAAUGUGCAGUGUAGCGGUGAAAUGCAUAGAUAUUACACAGAAUACCGAUUGCGAAGGCAGUCUACUAACUAACAACUGACGCUAAUGGACGAAAGCGUGGGGAGCGAACAGGAUUAGAUACCCUGGUAGUCC